rnacentral:sRNA from 1 species
GUGUUCUAAUGGAUGCCCUCAAGCUAGAGGCGUCUCUUCCUGAAAGACAUUCAUCUUUUUUCUGUGUCACAGGCUUGCCGUCGUCCUCGUGAGUUCUGGCGCCUUGACUACUGGGAAGAUGACUUGCGGCGCCGGCGACGAUUUGUGCGUAACCCUCUAGGAUCGACACAUCCUGAAGCGACACUAAAAACAGCCGUGGAACAUGCCACAGAUGAAGAUAUCCUUGCUAAAGGAAAACAGUCCAUCAAGAGUCAGGCUUUAGGAAAUCAGAACUCAGAAAACGAGAUCCUCCUGGAAGGCGAUGAUGAUACUCUGUCAUCCGUGGAUGAGAAAGAUUUAGAGAAUCUUGCUGGUCCUGUUAGCCUGAGCACACCAGCUCAGCUUGUGGCCCCCUCUGUUGUAGUAAAGGGCACUCUUUCUGUCACCUCCUCCGAACUCUAUUUUGAGGUGGAUGAAGAGGAUCCUAACUUCAAAAAAAUCGACCCCAAGAUCUUGGCGUAUACAGAAGGGCUGCAUGGAAAAUGGCUGUUCACAGAGAUACGAUCAAUCUUUUCUCGUCGUUAUCUUU